AGGGUUUCAGACUUAUUGAAAGUCAAGCGAAGGACUAAAAAUAAUACAAAGUUAUAAUAUAAGCACAAAAAUCUUAACCAGUUUAAGAAACUGUCAUGUUCUUCUAAUGGAAGGUAGGGUCGGCUUCUUCCAAUUCAAUCCCUUCAUCUGCAAGCCUCUUGUCUUUGUACAUAUACCAUUUAGCAAAAACCAAGUAAAUUCCCAAGUUGAAGCAACUCAAAAUUGUCAAAAGCCAAUAGAAAUUAUAGAGCCUCCCUUGGUUCAGAUUGUUUGGUAGCCAUGGUUUUUUGUUACCGGUGACCUUGUGAACUACGGUUACCAACAAAGAACUAACGAAGAAUCCUAAUGAAAGGGUACUCAAAAAUAAACCUGUACUCAUUGCUUUCAUCCCUUUGGGGCACUCCCUUAAGAAAAAGUCAAGCUGCCCUAUAUAUGUGAAGGCCUCCCCGGCCCCCACUAACAAAAACUGAGGGACCAACCAAAAGACGCUUAAUGGGAUUU
rnacentral:lncRNA from 1 species